UUCUUCUCCGGGAGGGCAGAUUUCUGGGCGAAAAUUUACUCAGAGGGUAAUUGUUUGAAGAUUAAACUCCUAACAGAGAUGGAUCCUAGAUACGCAGGAGAAACGCUAAAACAUUUAGAGAAGGAAUACGAGCUCCUUAUGGAAGCCUAUAAUUCCAUGUCGCACGAAUUGCAUACGCUUCAGGUUGAGGAAGAAAUGCUGAUGCGCAAGUUCUAUGAACUCAUGACUGCUCGUGGUCAAACUGAAAACAAAGCAGCGGAUAAUGAUGGCAUGGAUAACCAACCAACAGGAGGGUGCUGAAAGAGCUUUAGUCAGUGUGAGGAGUGAUGAGCAGUAAUGCUGCUGCAAUGGUGCAUUUGAUACAUCUAUCUUUUCAUUUUGGAUCUGUAAAUUUUGUAGUCUUAUCAACAUUGCAUAUUGAGAUUUGCUGUUAUGGAAGUAAUUCUUUGUUCUUGUGUUUUUCAAA